rnacentral:lncRNA from 1 species
UUAUUCCCGAGGCACUGUUUAUGCUCAGUUCACCUAGCACAUGACUUUCGUGACAACAUAUUGUUAUUGUUAGAGCAAGCGCGGGUUUUCAGAGAGGCGAGUCAACAAAAUGUUUUCCAGGUUGCUAUGGUGGCAUUAUUGCAUAGAUGAGAUACCAUCCAUGAUUAAUACACAACAUCGACUGACGUGGUUUCAGAUUUGGAGCAGGAAGGGUGACCGUGUACAUACAGAUCAUGGACUAAGGUGUUGUCAGAUCUGGAGCAUGAAUGGGUUAUCACGGAAACGUACCUCUACAUCUAGGCAAUGAUAUAAUGGAUGGCCGACGUUCAGAUGUACAAAGUUAUACAGCAGAUUUUGGAGCAUAAAGGGGUUCCAUGGAAACGUGUCUCUACAUCUAGACAAUGGUAUGAUGGGUGGCCGACGUUCAGAUGUACAAAGUUAUACAGCAGAUUUUGGAGCAUAAAGG